rnacentral:rRNA from 1 species
AUGUACAGCUUCAAGGUGAAGCCCUGCUCCCGCGCCUACUCCCACGACUGGACCGAGUGCCCCUUCGUGCACCCCGGCGAGAACGCCCGCCGCCGCGACCCGCGCCGCUACUCCUACAGCUGCGUGCCCUGCCCGGAGUUCCGCAAGGGCGGGUCGUGCCGCAAGGGCGACGGCUGCGAGUACGCGCACGGCGUCUUCGAGUGCUGGCUCCACCCGGCGCAGUACCGGACGCGCCUCUGCAAGGACGAGCUCCGCUCCGUCAACCCAUCCGCCGUCUCCGUGGGCAUGAUGCAGCCCGUGUCCCCGCGCUCCUCGCCCCCCAACGGGAUGGACAUGGGGAUGCUCAACCCCGCGGGGUGGCCGUCGUCUCCGGUCAGCCGGCUCAAGACGGCGCGGGAGCUCGACUUCGACCUGGAGAUGCUCGCGCUGGACCAGUACCAGCAGAAGCUGUUCGACAAGGUGUCCAACAACGCGCACUCGCCGAGGGCAAGCUGGGGCGCGCCCAACGGCGGCCUCGGCUCGCCGCACGCCGCCGGGUCGCCCGCCAGAAACAUGCCGGACUACACCGACCUGCUCGGCUCCAUGGACCCGGCCAUGCUCUCCCAGCUCCACGCGCUGUCGCUGAAGCAGGCGGGCGACAUGUCGCCGUACAGCUCCAUGCCGGACACGCAGCUGCACAUGCCGACCUCGCCGAUGGUGGGCGCGAACAACUCGUUCGGCAUCGACCACUCCAUGGCCAAGGCCAUCAUGACCUCCCGCGCCUCCGCGUUCGCCAAGCGUAGCCAGAGCUUCAUCGACCGCGGCGCGCGCGCCCCGGCCGCGCGCUCCCUGAUGUCGCCGGCCACCACGAUCGGCGAGCCUUCCAUGCUCACGGACUGGGGCUCUCCCAGCGGCGGCGGCAAUCUGGACUGGGGCUCGCCCGGUGGCAAGCUGGACUGGGGCGUGCAGGGCGACGAGCUGCACAAGUUCCGCAAGUCGGCGUCCUUCGGGUUCCGCGGGCAAUCCGCCAUGCCGGCGGCCUCCCCAGCCACCCCGGCCGAACCCGACGUCUCAUGGGUGAACUCUCUUGUCAAGGAUGGCCACACAGGCGACCAUUUUCCGCAGUGGCUGGAGCAGGAGCAGAUGGUGGCCUAA